CCCUUAGAUGUUCUGGGCUGCACGCGUGCUACAAUGGCGCUUGCAACAAGUCUUGCCAACCCGAUAGGGUGAGCGGAUCUUUGAAGAGGCGUCGUGAUCGGGACAGUUGAUUGCAAUUAUUCGACUCGAACGAGGAAUUCCUUGUAAUCGCGAUUCAUCAUAUCGCGCUGAAUACGUCCCUGCCCUUUGUACACACCGCCCGUCGCUCCUACCGAUUGAGCGAUCCGGUGAAUGUUUUGGACUGGCGUCAGAAGCGGUUCGCCCCUGACACUACGAAAUUUUGUAAACCUUAUCGCUUAGAGGAAGGAAAAGUCGUAACA
rnacentral:rRNA from 1 species